UACGUAGGGAGCGAGCGUUGUCCGGAUUUACUGGGUGUAAAGGGUGCGUAGGCGGCUCUGUAAGUCAGAAGUGAAAUCCAUGGGCUCAACCCAUGAACUGCUUUUGAAACUGUGGAGCUUGAGUGAAGUAGAGGUAGGCGGAAUUCCCGGUGUAGCGGUGAAAUGCGUAGAGAUCGGGAGGAACACCAGUGGCGAAGGCGGCCUACUGGGCUUUAACUGACGCUGAGGCUCGAAAGCGUGGGGAGCAA
rnacentral:rRNA from 1 species